rnacentral:rRNA from 1 species
CGGGUGCGUAACACGUGGGCAACUUGCCCAACGGUCUGGGAUAAGCCUUCGAAAGGAGGUCUAAUACCGGAUGAUAUCCUCGGGUGGCAUCUCUUGAGGAUCAAAGGCGGUUUCGGCCGUCGCCGAUGGAUAGGCCCGCGGUCCAUUAGCUUGUUGGUGGGGUAAUGGCCUACCAAGGCUGCGAUGGAUAGCCGACCUGAGAGGGUGAUCGGCCACACUGGGACUGAGAUACGGCCCAG